AACGAACGCUGGCGGCAGGCUUAACACAUGCAAGUCGAACGCAUCCUUCGGGGUGAGUGGCAGACGGGUGAGUAACGCGUGGGAACGUGCCCUUCAGUUCGGGAUAACCCAGGGAAACUUGGGCUAAUACCGGAUACGUGCGAGAGCAGAAAGAUUUAUCGCUGAAGGAUCGGCCCGCGCCUGAUUAGCUAGUUGGUGGGGUAAUGGCCCACCAAGGCGACGAUCAGUAGCUGGUCUGAGAGGAUGAUCAGCCACAUUGGGACUGAGACACGGCCCAAACUCCUACGGGGGGCAGCAGUGGGGAAUAUUGGACAAUGGGCGCAAGCCUGAUCCAGCCAUGCCGCGUGAGUGAUGAAGGCCUUAGGGUUGUAAAGCUCUUUCGUCCGGGACGAUAAUGACGGUACCGGAAGAAGAAGCCCCGGCUAACUUCGUGCCAGCCGCCGCGGUAAUAC
rnacentral:rRNA from 1 species